GCCAAAGUGCUUGUCGCGUCUACUUCUUGGGUCGGACUCAAAAUCCGCCGCCCUUAAAAGCGUGUGGGUUCGAGUCCCACCUUCGGCACCA
rnacentral:tRNA from 1 species